rnacentral:rRNA from 1 species
UGCAGUCGACGAUGAGCCUAGCUUGCUGGGUGGAUUAGUGGCGAACGGGUGAGUAACACGUGAGCAACCUGCCCCUGACUUUGGGAUAACUGCUGGAAACGGUAGCUAAUACUGGAUAUGACUGAUCAUCGCAUGGUGGUUGGUGGAAAGUUUUUCGGUUGGGGAUGGGCUCGCGGCCUAUCAGCUUGUUGGUGGGGUAAUGGCCUACCAAGGCGAUGACGGGUAGCCGGCCUGAGAGGGCGACCGGCCACACUGGGACUGAGACACGGCCCAGACUCCUACGGGAGGCAGCAGUGGGGAAUAUUGCACAAUGGGCGAAAGCCUGAUGCAGCGACGCCGCGUGAGGGAUGACGGCCUUCGGGUUGUAAACCUCUUUCAGUAGGGAAGAAGCGUAAGUGACGGUACCUGCAGAAGAAGCGCCGGCUAACUACGUGCCAGCAGCCGCGGUAAUACGUAGGGCGCAAGCGUUGUCCGGAAUUAUUGGGCGUAAAGAGCUUGUAGGCGGUUUGUCACGUCUGGUGUGAAAACCCACCGCUCAACGGUGGGCUUGCAUCGGGUACGGGCAGGCUAGAGUAUGGUAGGGGAAACUGGAAUUCCUGGUGUAGCGGUGAAAUGCGCAGAUAUCAGGAGGAACACCGAUGGCGAAGGCAGGUUUCUGGGCCAUUACUG